rnacentral:RNase_P_RNA from 1 species
CGGGUAAUCGAGCAGAAAUGUUAGGAAAGUCCAUGCUAGCACAGUCUGAGAUGACUGUAGUGUUUGUGCUAGAUGAAUAAAUAAAUCUAGGCUAUGACGGCGUUAUCGAUUCCUAAGUCAAUAGAUACGGAUAGAUGCUCAAAAGUGCCACAGAGACGAGCUUUAUGGAAACAUAAAGAUGAAACGAGGUAAACCCCGCAAGCUAGAAACCCAAAUUUUGGUAGGGGAAUCUUCAAGUAGGAAAUGAACUAUAAGAAGGAUAGGAAACUAUAGAUAAAUGAUUACCAACUACAGAACAUGGCUUAUAG